ACUUUUGAUAGUGAUGAUUUUUUUUUCCCCGUCAUAUCGAUGUAUGAAGAAAAAGCCAUAUAAAAAGCCAUUUUAACUGAAUCAAAAGU